ACAACGAAGAGUUUGAUCCUGGCUCAGGAUGAACGCUAGCGACAGGCCUAACACAUGCAAGUCGAGGGGCAUCAGGGAGGUAGCAAUACCUCUGCUGGCGACCGGCGCACGGGUGAGUAACACGUAUGCAAUCUGCCUGUAACAGGGGGAUAACCCGGAGAAAUCCGGACUAAUACCCCAUACCAUAACGAGCUCGCAUGAGGGUGUUAUGAAAGAGAGCAAUUUUGGUUACAGAUGAGCAUGCGCUCCAUUAGCCAGUUGGCGGGGUAACGGCCCACCAAAGCGACGAUGGAUAGGGGUUCUGAGAGGAAGGUCCCCCACAUUGGAACUGAGACACGGUCCAAACUCCUACGGGAGGCAGCAGUGA
rnacentral:rRNA from 1 species